GACGUAGGGGGCCAGCGUUGCUCGGAAUUACUGGGCGUAAAGGGUUCGUGGGCGGUGUGGCAAGUCGGGAGUGAAAUCUCUGGGCUUAACUCAGAGGCUGCUUCCGAAACUGCCGUGCUAGAGUGCGGGAGAGGCGAGUGGAAUUGCAGGUGUAGCGGUGAAAUGCGUAGAUAUCUGCAGGAACACCCGUGGCGAAGGCGGCUCGCUGGACCGCAACUGACGCUGAGGAACGAAAGCUAGGGGAGCAAACAGG
rnacentral:rRNA from 1 species